AUUGAACGCUGGCGGCAGGCCUAACACAUGCAAGUCGAGCGAGCGGCGGACGCGUGAGUAUUGUAUGGGGACUGCCCGAUAGAGGGGGCUAACUACUGUAAACGGUAGCUAAUACCCCAUACUAUCGGAUAACCCAUAUGGGAUUAGCUAGUAGGUGGGGUAAUGGCUCACCUAGGCGACGAUCCCUCGCUGGUCUGUGAGGAUGAUCAGCCACACUGGAACUGAGACACGGCCCAGACUCCUACGGGGGCAGCAGUGGGGAAUAUUGCACAAUGGGCGCAAGCCUGAUGCAGCCAUGCCGCGGGUAUGAAGAAGGCCCUAGGGUUGUAAAGUACUUUCAGUCGGGAGGCGUUACCGACAGAAGAAGCACCGGCUAACUCCGUGCCAGCCGCCGCGGUAAUAC
rnacentral:rRNA from 1 species